UACGUAGGUGACAAGCGUUGUCCGGAUUUACUGGGCGUAAAGAGCGCGCAGGCGGUCGAUCAAGUCGAGUGUGAAAGCCCCCGGCUCAACUGGGGAGGGUCAUUCGAUACUGAUCGACUCGAAGGCAGGAGAGGGUAGUGGAAUUCCCGGUGUAGUGGUGAAAUGCGUAGAUAUCGGGAGGAGCACCAGUGGCGAAGGCGACUACCUGGCCUGUUCUUGACGCUGAGGCGCGAAAGCUAGGGGAGCAAACGGG
rnacentral:rRNA from 1 species